rnacentral:tRNA from 1 species
GGGUCGGUGGCGUAGUUGGUUAUCGCAUCUGUCUAACAGUAGUUCACAGAAGGUCCUCAGUUCGAACCUGGGCCGACUCA